rnacentral:rRNA from 1 species
UACAGAGGUCUCAAGCGUUGUUCGGAUUCAUUGGGCGUAAAGGGUGCGUAGGUGGUUGGGUAAGUUUGAUGUGAAAUCUCCGAGCUUAACUCGGAAAUGGCAUUGAAUACUAUUCGGCUAGAGGUUUGGAGGGGGGACUGGAAUUCUUGGUGUAGCAGUGAAAUGCGUAGAUAUCAAGAGGAACACCAGUGGCGAAGGCGAGUCCCUGGACAACACCUGACACUGAGGCACGAAAGCUAGGGGAGCAAACAGG